UACGUAGGGUGCAAGCGUUGUCCGGAAUUAUUGGGCGUAAAGAGCUCGUAGGCGGUUUGUCGCGUCGACUGUGAAAACCCGAGGCUUAACCUCGGGCCUGCAGUCGAUACGGGCAGACUAGAGUUCGGUAGGGGAGACUGGAAUUCCUGGUGUAGCGGUGAAAUGCGCAGAUAUCAGGAGGAACACCGGUGGCGAAGGCGGGUCCCUGGGCCGAUACUGACGCUGAGGAGCGAAAGCGUGGGGAGCGAACAGG
rnacentral:rRNA from 1 species